CUGCCCAAUGAUUUAAUUUAAUGGCCGCGGUAUUUUGACCGUGCAAAGGUAGCAUAAUCAUUAGUCUAUUAAUUGUUGACUUGUAUGAAUGGUUGGACGAGAUAUUGACUGUCUCAAUUUAUUUAAUUGAAUUUGAAUUUUGAGUUAAAAUGCUUAAAUGUUUUUAAAGGACGAGAAGACCCUAUAGAUCUUUAUUAAUUGAUUUUCUUAUUUGUUUAGUUUAUUAUUUAUUCGUAUAUUUAUUAAUUUUGUUGGGGUGACAUGGGGAUAUAAAUAACUCUUUAUUAUUUUUUACUUUGAUUUUUGUAUGUUUGACCUUGUAUUAUUGUUAUAAGAUAAAGAUACCUUAGGGAUAACAGCGUAAUUCUUUUUGAGAGUUCAUAUCGACAAAGGAGAUUGCGACCUCGAUGUUGGAUUAAGAUAAAAAUUAGGUGUAGGUGCUUGAUUAUUAGGUCUGUUCGACCUUUAAAUUCUUACAUGAUCUGAGU
rnacentral:rRNA from 1 species